rfam:Medicago truncatula strain A17 chromosome 8, whole genome shotgun sequence.
AUGUAAACAACUUUUCACAUUUUAGAUUCAUUCAAUGAAUGAUGUAUGUGGUCCAUAUUAUAGACCACAUACAUCAUUUAUUGAAUGAAUUUAAAAAGUGAAAAGUUGCUUACAU